rnacentral:rRNA from 1 species
UACGUAGGGGGCGAGCGUUGUCCGGAAUCAUUGGGCGUAAAGAGCUCGUAGGCGGCUUAGUAAGUCGGUCGUGAAAGCCCGAGGCUCAACUUCGGGACUGCGGUCGAUACUGCUAUAGCUAGAGUUUGGUAGAGGAGAACGGAAUUCCCGGUGUAGCGGUGGAAUGCGCAGAUAUCAGGAGGAACACCGGUGGCGAAGGCGGUUCUCUGGGCCUUACCUGACGCUGAGGAGCGAAAGCGUGGGGAGCGAACAGG